AGAGUUUGAUCCUGGCUCAGGAUGAACGCUGGCGGCGUGCCUAAUACAUGCAAGUCGAACGCGCAGCGAGAGGUGCUUGCACCUUUCAAGCGAGUGGCGAACGGGUGAGUAACACGUGGAUAACCUGCCUCAAGGCUGGGGAUAACAUUUGGAAACAGAUGCUAAUACCGAAUAAAACUUAGUAUCGCAUGAUAUAAAGUUAAAAGGCGCUAUGGCGUCACCUAGAGAUGGAUCCGCGGUGCAUUAGUUAGUUGGUGGGGUAAAGGCUUACCAAGACAAUGAUGCAUAGCCGAGUUGAGAGACUGAUCGGCCACAUUGGGACUGAGACACGGCCCAAACUCCUACGGGAGGCUGCAGUAGGGAAUCUUCCACAAUGGGCGCAAGCCUGAUGGAGCAACGCCGCGUGUGUGAUGAAGGCUUUCGGGUCGUAAAGCACUGUUGUAUGGGAAGAAAUGCUAAAAUAGGGAAUGAUUUUAGUUUGACGGUACCAUACCAGAAAGGGACGGCUAAAUACGUGCCAGCAGCCGCGGUAAUACGUAUGUCCCGAGCGUUAUCCGGAUUUAUUGGGCGUAAAGCGAGCGCAAACGGUUGAUUAAAUCUGAUGUGAAAGCCCGGAG
rnacentral:rRNA from 1 species